rnacentral:rRNA from 1 species
UACGUAGGUGGCAAGCGUUGUCCGGAAUUACUGGGUGUAAAGCGCGCGUAGGUGGCCCUGUAAGUCCGUUGUGAAAGUCCAGGGCUCAACCCUGGGAUGCCGGUGGAUACUGUCGGGCUCGAGUCCGGAAGAGGAGUGUGGAAUUCCUGGUGUAGCGGUGAAAUGCGCAGAUAUCAGGAGGAACACCAAUGGCGAAGGCAGCACUCUGGGACGUGACUGACGCUGAGACGCGAAAGCGUGGGGAGCAAACAGG